rnacentral:rRNA from 2 species
CAACAGGGAUUGCCUUAGUAACUGCGAGUGAAGCGGCAAAAGCUCAAAUUUGAAAUCUGGCGUCUUUGACGUCCGAAUUGUAAUUUGGAGAGACAUCUUCGGAGUAGACGCCGUCCUAAGUUCCUUGGAACAGGACGUCACAGAGGGUGAGAAUCCCGUGCCUGGAUGGCUGUUCUACUUCAUGUGAAGUGUCUUCGACGAGUCGAGUUGUUUGGGAAUGCAGCUCAAAAUGGGAGGUAAAUUUCUUCUAAAGCUAAAUAUUGGCGAGAGACCGAUAGCGCACAAGUAGAGUGAUCGAAAGAUGAAAAGCACUUUGAAAAGAGAGUUAAAAAGUACGUGAAAUUGUUGAAAGGGAAGCGCUUGAGACCAGACUCGAUCAGUGGUGAUCAGCGGUGCUUCUGUACCGUGCACUUGCCAUUGAUUGGGCCAGCAUCGGUUUAGACGGCGGGAUAAAGACCUAAGGAAUGUGGCUCCUCUCGGGGAGUGUUAUAGCCUUGGGUGCAAUGCCGCCAGUUUGGACCGAGGACCGCGCUUCGGCUAGGAUGCUGGCGUAAUGGUCUUCAGCGACCCGUCUUGAAACACGGACCAAGGAGUCUAACAUCUAUGCGAGUGUUCGGGUGGAAAACCCUUGCGCGUAAUGAAAGUGAACGGAGGUGAGAACACUUCGGUGUGCAUCAUCGACCGAUCCAGAUGUCUUCGGAUGGAUUUGAGUAUGAGCAUAGCUGUUGGGACCCGAAAGAUGGUGAACUAUGCCUGAAUAGGGUGAAGCCAGAGGAAACUCUGGUGGAGGCUCGCAGCGGUUCUGACGUGCAAAUCGAUCGUCAAAUUUGGGUAUAGGGGCGAAAGACUAAUCGAACCAUCUAGUAGCUGGUUCCUGCCGAAGUUUCCCUCAGG